UGGUAAGCUGGGGGAAAGCGUGGGCGUAAUACAUGGGGUGCGAGUGUGAAUCGGAUGGAAGGGGCGUAAAGCGGGAGUAGGCGGCUUUGUAAGUGGGCUUCGAAAUCCCUGUGCGUAACUUAGGAAUUGCAUUCGAUACUGGGAAUCUAGAGUAUGGUGGAGGAUGGUAGAAUGCCAGGUGUAGCGGUGAAAUGCGUAGAGAUCUGGGGGAAUACCGAUGGCGAAGGCAGCCAUCUGGCCUAAUACUGACGCUGAGGUACGAAAGCAUGGGGAGCAAACAGGAUUAGAUACCCGGGUAGUC
rnacentral:rRNA from 1 species